rnacentral:rRNA from 1 species
UGGGGAAGUUUUGCGCAAUGGGGGAAACCCUGACGCAGCAACGCCGCGUGCGGGACGAAGGCCCUCGGGUUGUAAACCGCUUUCAGCAGGGAAGAUCCAAGACGGUACCUGCAGAAGAAGCUCCGGCUAACUACGUGCC